UGGGGAAUAUUGGACAAUGGGCGAAAGCCUGAUCCAGCCAUGCCGCGUGUGUGAAGAAGGUCUUCGGAUUGUAAAGCACUUUAAGUUGGGAGGAAGGGCAUUAACCUAAUACGUUAGUGUUUUGACGUUACCGACAGAAUAAGCACCGGCUAACUCUGUGCCAGCAGCCGCGGUAAUACAGAGGGUGCAAGCGUUAAUCGGAAUUACUGGGCGUAAAGCGCGCGUAGGUGGUUCGUUAAGUUGGAUGUGAAAUCCCCGGGCUCAACCUGGGAACUGCAUUCAAAACUGACUGACUAGAGUAUGGUAGAGGGUGGUGGAAUUUCCUGUGUAGCGGUGAAAUGCGUAGAUAUAGGAAGGAACACCAGUGGCGAAGGCGACCACCUGGACUAAUACUGACACUGAGGUGCGAAAGCGUGGGGAGCAAACA
rnacentral:rRNA from 1 species